CAAGACCCUGCCUCCAAAAAGAAAAGAAAAUAAAAGAAAUUCUGAAUUUAUUCUUGGACAGCUUUUAGCAGCUACAUGCAAAGAACUUCCAGGCCCUAAAGAAAGUAGACGGACUGCCAAAGACCUUUGGGAAGUUGUUGUUCAAAUCUGUAGUGUGUCCAGUCAGCACAAACGAGGAAAUGAUGGCAGAGUUAGUUUAAUAAAACAGAGGGAAUCUACGUUAGGUAUCAUGUAUCGGAGUGAACUGCUUUCUUUUAUCAAAAAAUUACGAGAACCACUCGUUUUGACUAUUAUUUUAUCACUCUUUGUGAAACUUCACAAUGUUCGGGAGGACAUUGUGAAUGAUAUUACAGCUGAACACAUUUCUAUUUGGCCAUCUUCCAUUCCCAACCUC
rnacentral:lncRNA from 10 species